rnacentral:ncRNA from 2 species
CUCUUAUUCCGAGCUGGUGGAGGGGACAGGCCCUAUGAAACCCGGCAACCUGCUGCUGCAUGCAGAGAAGGUGCCAAACCUGAAGCAAGGUCUCAACCUUGGACGAUAAGAG